CUGCCUCGGCCUCCCAAAGUGCUGGGAUUACAGGCGUGAGCCCAUUGUUGAAGCACUUUUAUAUGACUGCUUCAGAAGCUUUAUCAGAUGAUUCUAAUAUCUCUGUCAUCUCAGUGUUGUUAUCCACUGUCUUUUUUCCUUUGUUGGAGAUCUAACUGGUUCUUGGUAUGAAGAGUGAUUUUCGAUAGGAACCUGAGCAUUUCGGGUACUAUAUUUUGAGACUCUGGGUCUUUCUAUGCCUUCUGUUUUGCAGGCUUUUUCUGACAUCACUCCAGCAGAGAGAAAGAGGGAGGGCCACCUCAUUAGAGCCUCCAUGGGUGGAGGUGUUCAUUUGGCCUUUGCUGGUGUGGGUGUGGGUGGAACCAUAGUUUUUUCCUGUGGUGCUGGGCUAGGGUAGAGUCGUUAUUUCCUAAAAGUUUUCUGUCUUGCUAGGUUGCCUUUUUCCUUGUCCUUUAGCUAGGAAGAGCCAACUUUUGUUGGGACUUUAUUUUUUUUUUUCUGUCUGCAUUAUUGCUGUUCACAUGUUGCCAGUUUCUUCAGCUCCAAGUCUGGGAUUUAUAAGGCAAAAGGAAAAUCCAGACAACUCACCACUAUGUUGUUUCUUGGGUUCCAAGGUCCCUAGCCAGUCUCCCUUCAUCUCCGCCUUUCAGAGACAUCUUAGGUUUGUUUUCUAUUAAGUUUUUACUUGCACUUAAUAGGAAAAAUAAGGAAAGUGCAUCUAAUCCAACCUUUGGGAAGCUGAAGUUGAAGCUCCCUUUUAUUUUUUCAAUUGCCAAACUACAUUUUUAGUCAGCCAGGUGGAGGGAAGACUUAGUAGAGAAAAUGCACUGUUACCUCAAUCUCAGCCAUUGUUUUCUUCCUUCUUAGCACAAUGGAUCCGAAGUGUAGUAGCUGUAGGAUCUGAAGUGUAGUAAGUUUGAGAGUGGGAGUAAAAUCCACGCUAGUCCCAAAGGAGAAGUACAUCUGGACUCUAAAUUCAGUUUCCCCCCUCACUGUACCAUGUUGCUUCUUAUAAUAGAUGUUUUUUGGUUCGGUUGUUUUUUUUUUUUUUUUUUGAGACAGUCUCACUUUGUUGCCCAAGCUUG
rnacentral:lncRNA from 10 species